rnacentral:lncRNA from 1 species
ACAUAGUGGAAUAUUAUUCUGUGUAUGUUUUUGGAUCAUUUAUUAUAAUAAAAAUUUCAUGGCUUUUCAUUUUUUCAGUGCUUCAGAAUUUCCUAGAAUUUAAAGUCUAAAUUUUACUUCUUCAAGUUAAGAAGAGUUUGAAGGUGAUCACACGACUUUUGACAUUUUAAAAACCAAUUCUUUGAGAAUUUUGAAAUCAACUUCAAACAAUCAGAAAUGACAAUGAAUCAUGGUGACUUCCCAAAAGUAUGGAGGAGAUCAAAGAAUGACAAAAUCAAAAGCACACUGAAUCAAGGAAAACUGAGCUGUCUGCACCUUCACAAGAAGACCUACCAGAUCCUGGACAUCCAUCUUCAUUUAGAACUCACCAGAUCUCAGACUGAAAUUUGCAAGAGUCUGUUGAAAUCAUCCACCCUAUGACAGUGUGCAUGUGACUAUGUAUGCAUAUGUGCUAUAGCAGACUAACUGAAGUGAUGCCAGACUCUCAAGGAGCCUGAUGUUACGUAUCUCCUGUCCAACUUACCCCAGUAAGCUUCAGUUGUUUUGGUUGCUCAUUGUAUGCUCUCUCAUACUCUUAUCAAGGCCCCCCACAAAUAUAGACCAUCACGGAGAAAUACAACUGAUGCAAUGCGAAGAGCAAUAAAUCAUGGGAACUCAGUCCUAACA